UUGUUUUUGCAGUUGGGUAAAUUGCUUCCAUGGCCACUACUUCAAGCGUUUUCACUUCCAUUGCUUUUUGUUGUUAUUGUGCUGCUGCAAACUUAUGAAAUUCAAGAAAGAAGACAAGCAGCUUUAGGAAACUGAGGCAUUUAUGUGGAGAUCAACUUUCUUAAAAAUAGUGUUCGAGUGGAAUUAAUCAAAAAUAGAUAUAGGAUUUCAGUUUACAAUGCUCGCCAGCCAAUGAAACAGAGGUGCAUUUUUUGAAUGUUAUGUUUUUUUUUUUUUACCCUUGAAGUAGUAUCAUUUGUCAUUUCUGUUGAUAAUACUAGCAGUAUUCUGCCCAUAUUUCUUUAUGUUAAUUUUUAAAUGCUUGGAUUGGAACCAUAUACAACUUUCUUAAUCUCUCUAUUUUUCUUUGUUGCCAACCAUAAGCAAGGACAAGUGCCCUACCAGCUAUCAUGUUCUUCUUCUCUGUGCGUCUCUCAAAAUCUCAUCUAUGGUUUUUAGUUUUCAGUUUCAUAUUAAUAAAUAUAUAUAUAUAUAUUUGUUGAAGUACAUAUUCUUAUUGUUUGUACUAUAUUCAUUUAUAUAUAAAUAUAUAUUAUACUGUUGUUGGAAAGGAAGGGAAGAUGGCAAAUUUUUAUGAUUUUCCCUCUUAAAUGUAUUAAAUUUAGGUAUAUGCAAUUCACAGCUUGAAUAUUACUUUAAAUUAACGUCGUGGCUUAUGCAUGCAUGAUGAAUAAUUAGAAUAGGUCUUAUCCCCUUAUUCUUGUGUGCAGGGUAUUGACUCAAAGCAUCGGACUUCUCUCUUAUACAUUCUCGAGAAAAGCAAACUAUGAAAAAAUAGUUGUACCUAUGGUAGGUUCAUUAUGAGUUUAAUACAUCGACGGGUACAUUGGACUUCUUGCAUGGUAAAGAGCAUUUUAUGUCUAAUCUUUUGAUGUUGUUGCAAUGGUCUCCUUCUGCGACAAAAGCAGAGCUUUUGAAGCAAGUAAGCUUUUACAUAAUCAUUAUCUUAUUCUUUUCUAAUCAUUUGCUUGUUCCUUUUUGAACACACGCGUACUGAGUUUAUUUCUAACUUUUACUUGCAUGAUACUAAUUUCUUCACUGUGACCUUUUGAAUCUUGAUUCAUCAAAUUGUCAAUGAUUUGAACAAAGUUCAUCUUGAUACAUUGCGUAGUCUCAUUAAGAGGCAUGCUUGCUAUUAAUCAUCUUGUGUCUAUAA